rnacentral:rRNA from 1 species
GACUGUACAAAGGUAGCAUAAUAAUUUGUCUCUUAAUUGGAGACUGGAAUGAAUGAUUAGAUGAGAAUUAUACUUUCUUUAUUUUAUUAUAAAAAAUUAACUUUUAAGUUAAAAGGCUUAAAUGAUUUUAAGGGACGAGAAGACCCUAUAGAACUUUAUAUAGUUAUUUAUUAAUAAUGAUUAGUUUAUUUAUAAUUAUAACAAAUAAUUAUAUUUUAUUGGGGUGAUAAAAAAAAUAAAAUAACUUUUUUUAUUAAAAUCAUUUAUAUAUGAAUAUUUGAUCCAAUAUUAUUGAUUAUAAGAUUAAGUUACCUUAGGGAUAACAGCGUUAUUAUUUUAUAGAGAUCUUAUCGAUAAAAUAGUUUGCGACCUCGAUGUUGGAUUAAAAUUAACUAUAGGGGUAGAUUUUUAUAUGUUAAGUCUGUUCGACUUUUAAUUUUUUACA